AUUGAACGCUGGCGGCAGGCCUAACACCUGCAAGUCGAACGAGUGGCGGACGGGUGAGUAAUGUCUGGGAAACUGCCCGAUGGAGGGGGAUAACUACUGGCAACGGUAGCUAAUACCGCAUACCAUCGGAUGUGCCCAGCGGGGAUUCGCUAGUAGGUGGGGUAAAGGCUCACCUAGGCGACGAGCCCUAGCUGGUCUGAGAGGAUGACCAGCCACACUGGAACGGAGAAACGGUCCAGACUCCUACGGGAGGCAGCAGGGGGGAAUAUUGCACAAUGGGCGCAAGCCUGAUGCAGCCAUGCCGAGUGUAUGAAGAAGGCCUUCGGGUUGUAAAGUACUUUCAGCGGGGAGGCGUUACCCGCAGAAGAAGCACCGGCUAACUCCGUGCCAGCCGCCGCGGUAAUAC
rnacentral:rRNA from 1 species